GAUGAACGCUGGCGGCGUGCCUAAUACAUGCAAGUCGAACGCUGGAGAUCUAGCUUGCUAGAUCGAAGGAGUGGCGAACGGGUGAGUAAUACAUAAGCAACCUACCCACGAAGACUGGGAUAAUCUCUGGAAACGGAGACUAAUACCGGAUAGGUAAUCGGAAGGCAUCUUCUGGUUAUUAAAGGUUAAAAACACUGGUGGAUGGGCUUAUGGCGCAUUAGUUAGUUGGUGAGGUAACGGCCCACCAAGACGAUGAUGCGUAGCCGGCCUGAGAGGGUGAACGGCCACAUUGGGACUGAGACACGGCCCAGACUCCUACGGGAGGCAGCAGUAGGGAAUUUUCGGCAAUGGGGGCAACCCUGACCGAGCAACGCCGCGUGAGUGAAGACGGCCUUCGGGUUGUAAAGCUCUGUUGUAAGGGAAGAACGGUAGAUAGAGAAUAUCUAAGUGACGGUACCUUACCAGAAAGCCACGGCUAACUACGUGCCAGCAGCCGCGGUAAUACGUAGGUGGCGAGCGUUAUCCGGAAUUAUUGGGCGUAAAGGGUGCGUAGGCGGCCUGUUAAGUAAGUGGUUAAAUUGUUGGGCUCAACCCAAUCCAGCCACUUAAACUGGCAGGCUAGAGUAUUGGAGAGGCAAGUGGAAUUCCAUGUGUAGCGGUAAAAUGCGUAGAUAUAUGGAGGAACACCAGUGGCGAAGGCGGCUUGCUAGCCAAAGACUGACGCUCAUGCACGAAAGCGUGGGGAGCAAAUAGG
rnacentral:rRNA from 1 species